rnacentral:rRNA from 1 species
AGAGUUUGAUCCUGGCUCAGGAUGAACGCUAGCGGGAGGCUUAACGCAUGCAAGUCGAGGGGUAAGGUAGCAAUAUCUGAGACCGGCGCACGGGUGAGUAACGCGUAGAUAAUCUGCCUGAUGAUCUGGGAUAACACUUCGAAAGGGGUGCUAAUACCGGAUAAGCCCACGGGGUCUUUGGAUUCUGCGGGAAAAGGGGGGGACCUUCGGGCCUUCUGUCAUCAGAUGAGUCUGCGUACCAUUAGCUAGUUGGUAGGGUAAUGGCCUACCAAGGCUACGAUGGUUAGCUGGUUUGAGAGAAUGAUCAGCCACACUGGAACUGAGACACGGUCCAGACUCCUACGGGAGGCAGCAGUGGGGAAUUUUGCGCAAUGGGCGAAAGCCUGACGCAGCAACGCCGCGUGAGUAAUGAAGGCUUUCGGGUCGUAAAGCUCUGUCGAUGGGAAAGAAGUGUAUUGUGGCUAAUAUCCACGAUACUUGACGGUACCCAUAAAGGAAGCACCGGCUAACUCCGUGCCAGCAGCCGCGGUAAUACGGGGGGUGCAAGCGUUGUUCGGAAUUAUUGGGCGUAAAGAGCGUGUAGGCGGUUUGUUAAGUCUGUUGUGAAAGCCCUGGGCUCAACCCAGGAAGUGCACUGGAUACUGGCAGACUUGAAUACGGGAGAGGGUAGUGGAAUUCCUAGUGUAGGAGUGAAAUCCGUAGAUAUUAGGAGGAACACCGGUGGCGAAGGCGGCUACCUGGACCGAUAUUGACGCUGAGACGCGAAAGCGUGGGUAGCAAACAGGAUUAGAUACCCUGGUAGUCC